rnacentral:rRNA from 1 species
AUUGAACGCUGGCGGCAUGCCUUACACAUGCAAGUCGAACGGUAACGGGCCUUCGGGUGCCGUCGAGUGGCGCACGGGUGAGUAAUACAUCGGAACGUGCCCGAUCGUGGGGGAUAACGAGGCGAAAGCUUUGCUAAUACCGCAUACGAUCUACGGAUGAAAGCAGGGGACCGCAAGGCCUUGCGCGGACGGAGCGGCCGAUGGCAGAUUAGGUAGUUGGUGGGAUAAAAGCUUACCAAGCCGACGAUCUGUAGCUGGUCUGAGAGGAUGAUCAGCCACACUGGGACUGAGACACGGCCCAGACUCCUACGGGAGGCAGCAGUGGGGAAUUUUGGACAAUGGGCGCAAGCCUGAUCCAGCCAUGCCGCGUGCAGGAUGAAGGCCUUCGGGUUGUAAACUGCUUUUGUACGGAACGAAAAGCCUUCUUUUAAUACAGGAGGGUCAUGACGGUACCGUAAGAAUAAGCACCGGCUAACUACGUG